rnacentral:rRNA from 1 species
CCGGCACGGGUGAGUAACACGUAUGCAAUCCACCUGUAACAGGGGGAGUAACCCGGAGAAAUCCGGACUAAUACCCCAUAAUAUGGGCGCUCCGCAUGGAGAGUCCAUUAAAGAGAGCAAUCUUGGUUACAGACGAGCAUGCGCUCCAUUAGCCAGUUGGCGGGGUAACGGCCCACCAAGGCGACGAUGGAUAGGGGUUCUGAGGGGAAGGUCCCCCACAUUGGAACUGAGACACGGUCCAA